UCCCCAUAAUUUAUGGGAUUACACUCACCUGCAGAUCAAUUGGCCUGUCAGCAUUCUUCCUUCAGGAGGGAGGGGAUCCUCAAACGGGGCACCAGUUUUCUGGCUCCUUGCAGGUAGGUCAAAGCAAGAAGAGAGAGGCCCCAUCUCGCUGGGGUCUCUCCGGUGCUGAGUGGGACAGCAAGUAUUGAAGAAACACAAAAGAAACACACCAAGCUGGGAGUCUUGUUGAAGCCGGAACUCAAUUUUAUGGCAUCAGUUUCUUGCUUAUAUAAGUUUGGAACAUAGGGAGGGGGGUAUUUUUGGUGGGGUAAGAUGCCAUAGGAAGCGGGGAAGGGUGAUGGAGGGUAUGGAGUGACUGACAGGACCAAUGGCAAAGUUCUACAUCAGCAAUGGCAGGGCAGAGGUAGGGCCAAACAGGUCUUGCUGAGUCACCCCGAUACAAAAGUGACCGAGACAGGUCUCAAAACUUGAGCCAGGCUUAGGCUCUCCCACAAGGCUGCAGAAACUCGAGCCAGGCUUGGGUUUGUCCUCAAGGCCCAAACCAGGGCCAAAAUGGGGCCCAACACAUGGACCCUUACAAUGCAACAGCAAAGAGCAUUUAUUCUGCAGAGAACAUGCAUGCAGGGGUCUAUCAUACUUCAGGAUGGAAUAUGGAGUUGUGAACUUUGCAGGGUCAAUGUAAAGUCUGUUAGAGUGUGAGUAGGUGACUUUUACCUUUCUUUCCCUUGAUUGGUUGGUUCUGUCUCCAUGGGUGCCUUUGUGAUUGGUCAAGGCUUUGGGAGAUUUUUGGGGACUUUUACUGAUUAUACUUGGCACAAGAUAGGUGGUGGGGCAGCGGCUACAGCUCCCUAUUGGCUGCCAGUGAGGUUGGCUCAGGUUAGGUGGUGGGGCAGCUUUCUUGUUGGCUGUCUGUGAGGGGUGGUUUCUCCUGGAAUUGAAUUACUUUCCCAGUUCUGGGAAACAGAAACUUUGGCUUAGUCUCCCAAAUUGCCAGUUUGCAGCCUGUCAUGGGGUGAGCCUGGCUCUGGCUGACUGACUCAGUCCUCUCAAAAGCAUUUACAGUUCAAGUAAAAUUUAGAAGCACUUUGUUAAGCCGCACUGGCAAAUUCUUAAGCAGCAAUGAAAGCAAGGGAGUAUUUCUUUGGAGUAUAAUAAUUUGGCCUUGUGUGUGUGUGUGUGUGUGUGUACUUUUGUUCAUUUUUGUUUGUUUGUAUUGAGACAGGGUCUUUCUGGUUCUCUUGUAAUUUACCAUAUAAGCUAGGCUGGCCUCUAACUCCCAGAGAUCUACCUGCUUCUGACUUCAGAAUGCUAAGAUUAAAGGCACGUGCCACUAUGCCCAGCACUGUUAAGUAACUACUGAACAUUUUUGUUGUUGUUGUUGUUGUUUGCCUGUUGGGUGUCUCUUAUGGCCUUAAAGAGUAGACCAAGUGUGGUUCAUGAGCUUCUCAGAACAAUUCAGAUCAUUUACUUAAUACAAAUUACUAAAAAGCUUACAAAAAGAAAAAAGACAUCAGUUAUUAAUUUUCAUAUUUUAUGUUUCUUCUUAAGUCAAGGUCUCUUAUUUUUGCAUUCACUCCUUCCUCUAGGAAUGAGGGAGGAGAGUGGAGAGAUGAGAACUGGAAAAAGCUCAAGCUUCAGGUUUGUCACUGAUGCAUUGACACAAAAUGAUGCUGUAAUAAACAACUUGAUAGCGGGACAUAGAGGUGACUCAGCAGGAAAAUGUACCUUCCUCCAAGUCUGACUCCUUUGUCAGGACCCAUAUCAUAGAAGAAUUGAAUGGACUUCUAUAACAUGUCUCUAACCUUCAUGAAUCCAGGAUAUCUGACAUCCCUCAAUAAAAUGACCUCUAGGUUGUUUCCAGUUCCUGGCUAUUUUGAAUAGAGCAGUAGUGAACAUGGUUAAGCAAGUGUCUUUCUGGCUGCUGUUUUGUCCUAUUGACAGUGCCCAUUGCCCUGCAGAAGCUUUCAUGAGAGUCUGCUCUGCUGAUAUGCUUCUGAUUACUAGCUAUUGAAGAUUCAAUUUCAAUGAUAAGGUUUGUUGACUGGUAAAGUCCUUCCCUGUGGGCUACUAAUACAUCUGUACAAACAAGAUCUAUUUAUUUGUUGACUUCACACCUAUGUCAUUGAAGCCAAGAGUGGUUUAGAGAUAAAUUCUGGAACAGAUAAAUUAGUAGCACUUUCCUUAAUCUUUUUUAUUUACAUGGAUGAUACUCUAAUACCAUGAUUCUGCAGUAUACCUAAUGUGAGAUUCAACUUUUUUAAUAUUAUAAACUAUUAUGAACCAGACAGAAUCAGAUCCUACAACCAGACCACUUCUUCCUCAGUCAUUCACAAGGCAAUCACAAGAAAUAGGAGUGGCAGAACUCUAGCUGUAAUUUAGUUUUUGGUUUCAAUCAUAUCAUAGUUGCCAACAAUGCAAUACAUUGCUCUAAUUUCACAGAAUCCAGGCUUUCAGAUGCAUCUGAGCUUCAAGUGACAGUAGAAAUAAUUGUUGUUUACCAAUGCCCCUUAAGACUGACAAUAUUUAUAAAAAAUAUUUUUUCUAAUUUUUGAAAUUAUAAUGACAUCAUUUCUUCAUUCCAUUUCUUCCCUCCAAACCCUUCUAUAUACACUUUCUUGUCCUCUUUCAAAUUCAUGGUCUUUUUUCCCUCUAAGCACACACACACACACACACACACACACACACACACACACAAACACACACACCUCUCUACACAUAUAGAUACAACCUGUCUAGUCUAUGCAAUGUUACUUGUAGUUAGUUACUUGUAUAUAUGUUUUCAGGGCUGACCAUUUGAUAAUGUAUAGCCAUUUGGUGUGCUCAUCCAUGGAGAAGACUAUUUCUCCACUCUCAGCAUUCCUUACCUGUCUACAGUUCCUUGGUUAGGUUGAGACCUCCUGGUCUCACCCCACUGCAUCCACAUUAGCUUGUCUAUUGUAGUUGUCCUUGUUAACUUUACAUUUAGACAGUCAUGUUGGUGCCUUAAUGGGUACUGCUUCUGACAUACCUAGGACACACUGUCUCAUAAAAAAUUCCCUGAUCCUCUCACUGUUAAAAUCCUUCUGCUACCUCUUCCCCAGUGUUCCCUGAGUCUUAGUUAUAUUAUAGAUGUAUCCCUUGGAAGUGGAAUCCACAAAUCUGCAUUUUGAUUGGUUGUGCUUUUCCUUAACAUCUCCAUCUGUUGCAACGAAAAGAUUCCUUAAUGAAGAAUAGAGACAACAAUUAUCUGUGGGUAUAAGGACCCAUAU